UGGGAUCCAGUGCAUUAGUGAUGGUAUGAUCGCAUCCGUUACUACAUGCAAUGCAAUAAUAUCUUUUCUUCUUGAAGACUUUAUGAUCCAUUUGUCGUGGGUCCCACCAGCUAUGUAGGAAUACCCUAUCUUGUUUAUAAGAGCUUUGAUACAUGCAAAAUAUUCAAAAACAAUGUCCGAACAUAUAAUUUUCGCCCCGUAAUAUAGCAAAGAUCGCGAAAACGCCAAAAGAGUACAUUAAGGUCAAAAUUUGGAGUAGAAAAAAAACCCAAUAGAAGAAUUCCAUUUUCCUUCAUCAUUCACCAGAGAGCUCUCUUUUGGCUUUUUGAAAAGGUAUCACAUGCCAAGUUUGGCCUCACGGUCUAAAAGUUAUAGAGUCAUUCAUUUUAAAAAAAAAAAUAGAGAAAAACCAAAAAAAAAAAGAGGGAUGAAACACGAGGACUUUCCGGGAGGUCACCCAUCCUAGUACUACUCUCGCCCAAGCACACUUAACUGCGGAGUUCUUAUGGGAUCUGGUGCAUUAGUGCUGCUAUGAUCGCAUCCGUUACUACAUGCAAUGCAAUCGUAUCUAUUCUUUUUUGAAGACUUUAUGAUCCAUUUGCUGUGGGUCCUGAUAUGUCUAUAAUUUACAUCUUUUCAGUGUCCAUUCAUCACCGUUUUGAGUCCAGUUUUGUAUCAUUCAUCGCUGUUUUAUAUCAUUUCUCAUCAUUCUUGCAUACUUUGCAUGAUUAGGAUAGUUUUGCAUACAUAUUGCAUUUCUAAGUUGUUUUCAGGUGAUUUGGAGCUGUUUGCGAGCAAAUUGGAAGAAACGAGCCAGAACCAGAAGACAUACUCGACCACCAGGUCGUGUGCAUCCAGCACCAUACUCGACCCCCUGGUCGAGUGACUUUGGAGCCAUUCUUCCCAUCUACUCGACCCCCUAGUCGAGUAUCCUCAGCUCAGGCUACUCGAUGACGCCAUCGACCCCCUGGUCGAGUAUCACUUCGCCACACCACCUGACCACACUCGGCCAUUCACUCUACCAAGUUAGUCGACCCCCUGGUCGAGUAUCAUCACUCACCACCAUCACCAUCACUCGACCGGACACUCGAUCACGUCUUCACAGUCUACUCAAAUCCGCACUCAACCAGACAAGCUGAGCACAAGGAAGAGAAGAGGAGAAGACAAAGUGUUUGGAAGCGGCCUGGACCUCCAUCGGAUCACAAAGCCCAUCUCGGCCCAUUAUCACUCUAUUGGUCGGGCGAUUAGGUUAUUGGCCCGUCUACUAUCAUUUUGUUUUGUAUAAAUAGAUGUCUUAGGGUUCUUUCCUGAGACAUCUAGUCGACAUUGAGUUUUUGUUUCAGUUUUAUUUUCUAUUUUACUCUUCUGCGCCGCUUUUGCUUCUACAACCUAUAAUUCGAGAUUUUUCCAAGUUAUUCAGAUUCUGCAUUUGAUUUUAUCUAUCAUCCUGUUUCUCUACUCUUUAUCUCUUUACUUAUGCAAUAUUAUCAUUUAUCUGCGUUUAUGUCUUUGAGCAUGUUGUCUGAGUAGUGACAUAGAAUUCUUAGGGAUGGGAUAGAGUAGUUGUGGAAUCCGUAGUCUGUAGAAUGGUUAAGUUUUAGAAUUGAUUGAAUCCCUUCAGGACUAGUUGCGUUUACUGCUUAUUUCUUUCUGAUCAACUGGAAUUCGAUCCCAAGCAUUCUCGCACCCAGAAGGUGUUCGAUGGAAUGCUUGAUCCACUAGUUCCUGAGAUAUUCGUCUCUAUCCCAAGGGAUUGGGCGUUUAGAGCGUUUAUUGACUUUAUCAGUCUGUUCUUAUUGCCUGCAUAGUUAGAUUGCGUUAAUGGGAAUUAGUCUGGGCUAGCUUUGCUUGAGGAUUUCUAUCACAGAAGUGAAUUGAUUUGUUGUUGAACCUAUUGUCUAGGGAUAGCUUGAUUGCGCUUGUUAACCAUUCGAAUAUGCUAGGAUAUGAUAAGGUCUGACCCUAUCGAAGACAAGAAAAAGACUAAGAGUGAUAAAAUAACAAGAUAAUAGGAAAUGCACCUUGAACGGCGGAGAGUGUAGAUGAGAGAGAGAAUUUCAAGAUUAAUGUUGUUGAUUGUUUAUUUUGAUAACAAAACCCUAAAAGGGAAGGUUCCUUAAAUAGCAUCUACUGAGACUCAAUACAAAACGCAGCAUUUCGAUAACCCAAAAGUAAAACGACACAGUUGGCGAGCUGUCUUUCUGUGCCGAGCUGGCGAGCUGUCUUUCUGUGCCUUAGCCACUUUUAAAUAGAAGCUUCCUCAGGAACUUCUCACGAGCUCUGCCUUUCCUUCCAUUUGAUUUCGCCCUUCUUCUCACACCAGCCAACGUCACCUGUAACCUAUCAAUGCUCCCGCGCAGAAGACUGACCUUGUCCUCAAGGUCGAAGUCCGGGUACUGCUGCACCAAAGUGAGGAGCGGCUCCCAAGUUGAUUCCAAGGUUGAUAAUCCAGACCACUGUACCAGCACCUCUGGUCCUGAAUUUGUGUUGCUCUGUCGGAUAUCUAGCAGCUUCUCAGGUCCUGUGUUCCAUUCCAGUGUGGGUGAUAGUAUCUUGGGAAGUUCCUGCGGGGUGAAUGACGGAGGUACAGCCCUUUUCAGUUGAGAGACAUGGAACACCGGGUGAAUUGUGCUGUGUUCGGGUAGUUGGAGCUUGUAAGCGACCUGACCUAUGCGGUGCAGCACUUUAAAUGGACCGAAGUAGCGCUGGGACAGCUUUUCAUUCUUCCUAUGAGCCACAGAACUUUGCCUAUAAGGACGCAGCUUCAAGUAAACCCAUUCAUCAAUUUCAAACGCUACAUCACGUCGACUUUUAUCAGCAGCCUUUUUCAUUUGAGCUUGAGCUAUCUCCAAGUUCUCUCUUAAUUCAACCAGCAUUCCAUCCUUAUCCUUAAGUAACUCCUCUACAUUCGCAUUAUUGGUUGGAAUAUCGCCAUACCUGAGCAGAACUGGUGGUUCUCUACCAUAGACUGCUUGAAAGGGAGUGGUUUUGGUGGCUGAAUGGUACGAGGUGUUGUACCAGUAUUCUGCCCAAGGUAACCACUGAAACCACGAUGUAGGCCUCCUCCCUGCAAAGCAUCGCAAAUAAGACUCAAGACAUCUGUUAACAACCUCGGUCUGCCCAUCAGUUUGUGGGUGAUAGGCUGUACUCUUCUGUAGCCCCGUGCCCUGCAGCUUAAACAACUCAGACCAGAAUCCGCUCAGGAAAAUCCUGUCCCUGUCCGAAACCAGUGUGUUUGGGAAGCCAUGUAGCUUGACUACAUCUCUUAUGAAGGCCUCAACUACAGUCUUGGCAGUGAAUGGAUGUUUAAGUGGAAUGAAAUGACUAUACUUACUUAAUCUAUCCACCACUACCAAUAUACAGUUAAACCUGUUAGAGCUUGGCAACCCUUCUACAAAGUCCAAGCUGACAUCACUCCAAAUCUGUUGUGGAAUAGGGAGAGGUGAUAGUAAACCGGCUGGAGAGAGGGUAGAGUAUUUAUUCUCUUGACAGAUUUGGCAUCCCUUGAUGUAGUUAACCACGUCUUUCCGCAACCCUCUCCAGUAUACUUCACUUGUGAGUCGUUUGAAUGUCUUAAGGGCACCUUCAUGACCUCCAAUAGGACUGGUGUGGAACUUCUCUAGCAUCUUUGGAAUGAAGGGAGAUCCUACAGGAAUUACCAAACAGCCUUUUCUGUAAAUCAAGCCAUCUGCCACAGUGAAGUCAGAAUCAUGGUGGUCCCCUUGUGCCCAGUUCUUAAGUAUCUGGCUCAACUCAUGAUCCUGCUGAAUUUCUGCCUUUAGUGCAGUCAAGUCGAUAGUAGGAGGACCAGUUAUAGUGAGCUGUGAGAGAGCCUCAGUUGGAGGUCUCCUUGAGAGUGCAUCAGCUACCUUAUUGUCAACUCCUGGUUUAUAUUCGAUCCUAUACUUCAGUCCACUCAACUUAGACGCCCAUCUCUGCUGUAUUGUGGACACCGACUUCUGUUCCAACAAAUGUCUGAGGCUGCGUUGAUCUGUCUUGAUAAUGAAUUCUUUACUUGAUAGGUAAUGCUUCCACUUUGUGACAGCUUUCACUAUGGCUAACAGUUCACGUUCAUAAACUGACCUUAUUCUGCCUUGACUGGAGAAGGCUUGGCUGAGAAAUGCAAUAAGCCUCUUAUUCUGUGACAGUACUGCUCCAAUCCCCAUCCCUGAUGCAUCCGUUUCCACAGUAAACUCCUGCUGGAAAUCUGGUAACACUAGCACAGGUAGUGCUGAAACAGCUGCUUUGAGAGCCUGAAAUGCAGAAGUAGCUGCCUCAUUCCAAUCAAAACUGUUCUUUUUUAACUGAUCUCUGAGUGGUCUGGCGAUUUGGCCGUAAUUCUUGACAAAUCGGCGAUAGUAGCCAGUGAAUCCUAGGAAGCCUCUUAACUCAGUCACAGAUUUAGGUAAAGGCCACUGGAGCAUUGCUUCCACCUUUUCUGGAUCUGUUGCGACUCCUUGCUCAGAGAUAAUGUGUCCCAAAUAUGAGAUCCUAGUGCUUCCAAAUGUGCACUUUUUAAAAUUGGCAUAGAACUGAUGAAGAUGCAGUAGCUGUAAGACGGUUUCCAAAUGCUUCAAAUGUGUCUUCAUAUCAGGACUAUAAACUAGUAUAUCAUCGAAGAAAACCAAGACGAACUUUCGCAAGUAUGGCCUGAAUAGGUCAUUCAUGACGCUUUGAAAGGUGGAGGGGGCGUUGGUCAAGCCAAAUGGCAUUACCAGAAAUUCAUAAUGGCCCUCAUGUGUCUUGAAGGCAGUCUUCUCCACAUCACUCAGUUUCAUCCUUAUCUGGAAAUAGCCUGAUUUAAGAUCCAACUUUGAAAACACUGUGGCUCCUUUCAGUUCAUCCAAUAGCUCUUCUAUAACAGGAAUCGGAUACUUAUCGGGUAUUGUAGCUUCAUUCAAUGCUCGAUAAUCAACGCAGAAGCGCCAUCCUCCAUCUUUCUUUUUCACUAGGAGAACUGGACUUGAAUAUGGACUCACGCUAGGUCUUAUAAUCUGAGCAUUCAACAUUUCACGCACAAGCUUCUCUAUCUCAUUCUUUUGAGCAAAAGAAUACCUGUAUGGUCGGAUAUUGACUGGUGAAGACCCUUCUUGUAAGGUAAUGGCGUGUUCUCUGUUGCGAACUGGUGGCAAUAGCUGUGGAGUUUGAAAAACCCCUUGGUACUGAUCCAAAAGCCUCUGGAUUGCAGGCUGCAAGGCUGUUUGCUCUUCCUGUUUCUUGCUUUCAAACAAAGAUGCUAGUUCCAAGAGAUAUGCAGUUCCAGUGUAUUUGAUAACUCUUUCCAUAGACCUCAUCGAAAUUUGUCCUCUACAUAGAUCCGGGUCGCCGUAUAAGGAUACCCAUGUGCGACCUAUCUGCCAACUGAUCCUCAAAUCUCUCCAGUUGGCUCUUGUUUCUCCUAGUCCUGCCAACCAAGAAAAUCCCAGAACCAAAUCCAAAUCUCCCAAGUCAAAUAAGUAGUAGUCUUGUACAAACUCAAUUCCUUGGACCUCUAGUGGUAUAUCGACACACUUCCCACUACUUUUGAUGAUUCUGCCUCCACCAACUUUAACUCCAAAACUGCGAGUUUGAGUCACUAACCAUCCUUUCUCUCUUACCAAAGCCUCACUAAUGAAGUUGCAAGUUGCUCCUGAAUCAACCAAUAACACCACUUUGGUGUUGCCAAUGUAUCCCCUCAUUUUCAUUGACUGCUCUUGAGACUCAUCAUUCAAGGAGCUGAGUGUCAUUACCUUGAAACCUUCUGCAGGUUCUGGAUCCCCUUCUUCUUCUGUCAGUGGUUCAUUCAACUCUUCAAUUAGAGGACUCUCCUCUUCAACCUCUUCUGUUAUGGCUAGACCCUUGAGCUUUUGUGGUUUGCAUUUAUGGCCUUGAAACCAUCUAUCUCCACAGUAGCGGCACGGGUUUGAGUUCCUGGCUUCCCCACUGCCUGAAGCACGAGUUGUAUCCCUACUAGGAAUGAAGGGUUGUCUCGUUGGAGCACGGUCUACCACUCUAGAUCCUGUGGAGACCUGAUUGUUGAAUGGAGCUGUGUUGGUUCUAGCUUGAUUUCGCACUUGGUAACUAACAGCAUUCCGCUCUUGUGACUCAAUGAGUUUAGCUAUCUCAACAAUAUCUGCAAGAUUCACUGGCCUACAGCGAACUACCUGGUCUCGAAGACUUCUUCUCAGUCCAUUGAGGAAUGCAGAUUCCAAUAUGUCAGAUGUGACAUGGGGUAAGUCGACUGUGAGCUCUUCAAAACGUUCUCUGUAUUCCUCCACGGUUCCUGUUUGUCUCACGUUGAGGAGAUGAUCCACAGCAGAACUGCCUCUGCUUGGUCGAAAACGUAACAUGAACUUUUCUUGAAAUUCCCUCCAGGUAUAGAUUUGUUCUCUGUCCUUAGAGCAGCGCCACCAUGUAACUGAUGCUCCUGUUAAACAAGACACAGCCUUUUCCAGUUUUUCUUCCUCUAGGGUGCGAUUGGAUAAGAAGCACUGUUCUAGCCGGAACAACCAAUCGUCGGCAUUGCCUCCUUCAUAAGCCGGAUAAUCCACAGUCCUACGCGGGGCUGCUUCAAACCGAGGUUGAUGUGGCGCAGAUUGAGGCGGAAACGUUUGUGUUUGGAAGGUUGGAGUAGUCUGAAACCCCGUGGAAGGAUUAGAUGGAAAACCUGAAGAUGAUGGAAGACCCGUGGAGGCAUUCAGCUGAAACCCUGGUGGUUCUAAUGGUGACGAGUGAAAGCGACGCGGUUCGAAGGGUGAAGCUGGAAGUCGAGGUAUCUCUGAAGUCGACGCCUGGUAUCGCGACUGGUCAAAGAGUAAGGGCCGAGGGUGUGUGUCCCGUUGAUUUGUGCCGGAAAACAGAGUCUCUCUGUUCUGUACCUCCAAGUGUUGAGGAUGAGAGGUGUAGACUGGUAACGCCGGAGCUGGAGAAGAAAAACGGACUCCUCUAUUCGGUCCUUCCAGAUGUUGUGGGUANNNNNNNNNNNNNNNNNNNNNNNNNNNNNNNNNNNNNNNNNNNNNNNNNNNNNNNNNNNNNNNNNNNNNNNNNNNNNNNNNNNNNNNNNNNNNNNNNNNNAGCUCUCUUUGGGCUUUCCGAAAAGGUAUCACAUGCCAAGUUUGGCUUCACGGUCUAAACCUUAUAGACUCAUACAUUUUUCACAAAAAAAAGAAGAGAAAAACAAAAAAAAAGAGUGAUUAAACACGAGGACUUUCCUGGAGGUCACCCAUCCUAGUACUACUCUCGCCCAAGCACUCUUAACUGCGAAGUUCUGAUGGGAUCUGGUGCAUUAGUGCUGGUAUGAACGCAUCUGUUACUACAUGCAAUGCAAUCGUAUGUAUUCUUUUUUGAAGAUUUUAUGAUUCAUUUACCGUGGGUCCCACCAGCUAUGUAGGAAUAACCUAUCUUAUUUAUAAAAGCUUUGAUACAUGCAAAAUAUUCGAAAACAAUGUCCGAACAUAUAAUGUUCGCCCCAAAAUAUAGCAAAGACCACAAAAAUGCCAUAAAAAGUACAUUAAGGUCAAAAUUUGGAGUAGGAAAAAAAUCAAUAGGAGAAUUCCAUUUUCCUUCCCUCAUUCAUCGGAGAGCUCUCUUUGGGCAUUCCAAAAAGGUAUCACAUGCCAAGUUUGGCCUCACGGUCUAAAAGUUAUAGAGUAUUACAUUUUUAACAAAAAAAAAAAGAGAAAAACCGAAAAAAAGAGGGAUGCAACACGAAGACUUUUCUGGAGGUCACCCAUCCUAGUACUACUCUCCCCCAAGCACGCUUAACUGUGGUGUUCUGAUAGGAUCAAGUGCAUUAGUGCUGGUAUGAUCGCAUCAGUUACUACAUGCAAUGCAAUCAUAUAUAUUCUUUUUUGAAGACUUUAUGAUCCAUUUGCCGUAGGUCCCACCAGCUAUGUAGGAAUACCCUAUCUUGUUUAUAAGAGCUUUGAUACAUGCAAAAUAUUCGAAAACAAUGUCCGAACAUAUAAUUUUUGUCCCGUAAUAUAGCAAAGAUCACGAAAAGGUCAGAAAAAAUAUAUUUCGGUCAAAAUUUGGAGUAGAAAAAAAGCCCUUCCUCAUUCAUUGGACAGCUCUCUUUGGGCUUUCCGAAAAGGUAUCACAUGCCAAGUUUGGCCUCACGGUCUAAACCUUAUAGACUCAUACAUUUUUCAUAAAAAAAAGAAGAGAAAAACAAAAAAAAAAAGAGUGAUUAAACACGAGGACUUUCCUGGAGGUCACCCAUCCUAGUACUACUCUCGCCCAAGCACGCUUAACUACGAAGUUCCGAUGGGAUCUGAUGCAUUAGUGCUGGUAUGAUCGCAUCUGUUACUACAUGCAAUGCAAUCGUAUCUAUUCUUUUUUGAAGAUUUUAUGAUUCAUUUACUGUGGGUCCCACCAGCUAUGUAGGAAUAACCUAUCUUAUUUAUAAAAGCUUUGAUACAUGCAAAAUAUUGGAAAACAAUGUCCGAACAUAUAAUGUUCGCCCCAAAAUAUAGCAAAGACCACAAAAAUGCCAUAAAAAGUACAUUAAGGUCAAAAUUUGGAGUAGGAAAAAAAUCAAUAGGAGAAUUCCAUUUUCCUUCCCUCAUUCAUCGGAGAGCUCUCUUUGGGCAUUCCAAAAAGGUAUCACAUGCCAAGUUUGGCCUCACGGUCUAAAAGUUAUAGAGUAAUACAUUUUUAACAAAAAAAAAAAAGAAAAAAACCGAAAACAAAGAGGGAUGCAACACGAAGACUUUCCUGGAGGUCACCCAUCCUAGUACUACUCUCACCCAAGCACACUUAACUGUGGUGUUCUGAUAGGAUCAAGUGCAUUAGUGCUGGUAUGAUCGCAUCAGUUACUACAUGCAAUGCAAUCGUAUCUAUUAUUUUUUGAAGACUUUAUGAUCCAUUUGCCGUGGGUCCCACCAGCUAUGUAGGAAUACCCUAUCUUGUUUAUAAGAGCUUUGAUACAUCCAAAAUAUUCGAAAACAAUGUUGGAACGUAUAAGUUUUGCCCAGUAAUAUAGCAAAGAUCACGAAAAGGCCACAAAAAGUACAUUAAGGUAAAAAUUUAGAGUAGGAAACAAAAACAAUAGGAGAAUUCCAUUUUCCUUCCUCAAUCAUCGGAGAGUUCUUUUUGGGCUUUCCAAAAAGGUAUCACAUGCCAAGUUUGGCCUCACGGUCUAAAAGUUAUAGAGUAAUACAUUUUUAACAAAAAAAAAAAGAAAAAAACCGAAAACAAAGAGGGAUGCAACACGAAGACUUUCCUGGAGGUCACCUAUCCUAGUACUACUCUCGCCCAAGCACACUUAACUGUGGUGUUCUGAUAGGAUCAAGUGCAUUAGUGCUGGUAUGAUCGCAUCAGUUACUACAUGCAAUGCAAUCGUAUCUAUUAUUUUUUGAAGACUUUAUGAUCCAUUUGCCGUGGGUCCCACCAGCUAUGUAGGAAUACCCAAUCUUGUUUAUAAGAGCUUUGAUACAUCCAAAAUAUUCGAAAACAAUGUUGGAACGUAUAAGUUUUGCCCAGUAAUAUAGCAAAGAUCACGAAAAGGCCACAAAAAGUACAUUAAGGUAAAAAUUUAGAGUAGGAAACAAAAACAAUAGGAGAAUUCCAUUUUCCUUCCUCAAUCAUCGGAGAGUUCUUUUUGGGCUUUCCAAAAAGGUAUCACAUGCCAAGUUUGGCCUCACGGUCUAAAAGUUAUAGAGUCAUACAUUUUUAACAAAAAAGAGGGAUUUAACACGAGGACUUUCCGAGAGGUAACCCAUCCUAGUAGUACACUCGCCCAAGCACCCUUAACUACGGAGUUCUAAUGGGAUACGGUGCAUUAGUGCUCGUAUGAUCGCAUGUGUUACUACAUGCAAUGUAAUCGUAUCUAUUCUUUUUUAAAGACUUUAUGAUCCAUUUGCCGUGGGUCCCACCAGCUAUGUAGGAAUAUCCUAUAUUCUUUAUAAGAGCUUUGAUACAUGCAAAAUAUUCGAAAACAAUGUCCGAACAUAUAAUUUCCCCCCCGUAAUAUAGCAAAGAUCACGAAAAGGCCCAAAAAAGUACAUUAAGUUUAAAAUUUGGAGUAGAAAAAAAACCAAUAGAAAAAUUCCAUUUUCCUUCCUCAGUCAUCGAAGAGCUCUCUUUGGGCUUUCUGAAAAGGUAUCACAUGCCAAGUUUGGCCUCACGGUCUAAAAGUUAUAGAGUCAUACAUUUUUAACAAAACAAAAAGAGAAAAACCGAAAAAAACAGGGAUGCAACACGAGGACUUUCCUGGAGGUCUCCCAUCCUAGUACUACUCUCGCCCAAGCACCCUUAACUGCGUAGUUCUGAUGGGAUCCGAUGCAUUAGUGCUGGUAUGAUCGCAUCUGUUACUACAUGCAAUGUAAUCGUAUCUAUUCUUUUUUAAAGACUUUAUGAUCCAUUUGCCGUGGGUCCCACCAGCUAUGUAGGAAUACCCUAUCUUCUUAAUAAGAGCCUUGAUAAAUGCAAAAUAUUGGAAAACAAUGUCCGAACAUAUAAUGCCCCCCCCCCCGUAAUAUAGCAAAGAUCACGAAAAUGCCCAAAAAAGUACAUUUAGGUCAAAAUUUGAGUAGAAAAAAAAACAAUAGAAGAAUUCCAUUUUCCUUCCUCAUUUAUCGGAGAGCUCUCUUUGGGCUUUCCGAAAAGGUAUCACAUGACAAGUUUGGCCUCACGGUCUAAAAGAUAUAGAGUCAUACAUUAUUAACAAAACAAAAUAGAGAAAAACCGAAAAAAAAGAGGGAUGCAACGCGAGGACUUUCCGGGAGGUAAUCUAUCCUAGUACUACUCUCGCCCAAGCACCCUUACCUGCGGAGUUCUGAUGGGAUCCGGUGCAGUAGUGCUGGUAUGAUCGCAUGUGUUACUACAUGCAAUGCAAUCAUAUAUAUUCUUUUUUGAAGACUUUAUGAUCCAUUUGCCGUAGGUCCCACCAGCUAUGUAGGAAUACCCUAUCUUGUUUAUAAGAGCUUUGAUACAUGCAAAAUAUUCGAAAACAAUGUCCGAACAUAUAAUUUUUGUCCCGUAAUAUAGCAAAGAUCACGAAAAGGCCAGAAAAAAUACAUUUCGGUCAAAAUUUGGAGUAGAAAAAAACCCCUUCCUCAUUCAUUGGACAGCUCUCUUUGGGCUUUCCGAAAAGGUAUCACAUGCCAAGUUUGGUCUCACGGUUUAAAAGUUAUAGAGUCAUACAUUUUUCACAAAAAAAAGAAGAGAAAAAACAAAAAAAAGAGUGAUGAAACACGAGGACUUUCCUAGAGGUCACCCAUCCUAGUACUACUCUCGCCCAAGCACGCGUAACUGCGAAGUUCUGAUGGGAUCUGGUGCAUUAGUGCUGGUAUGAUCGCAUCUGUUACUACAUGCAAUGCAAUCGUAUCUAUUCUUUUUUGAAGAUUUUAUGAUCCAUUUGCAGUGGGUCCCACCAGCUAUGUAGGAAUACCCUAUCUUGUUUAUAAGAGCUUUGAUACAUGCAAAAUCUUCGAAAACAAUGUCCGAACAUAUAAUUUUCGCCCCGUAAUAUAGCAAAGAUCACGAAAAUGCCAAAAUAGUACAUUAAGGUCAAAAUUUGGAGUAGGAAAAAAAACCCUUCAUCAUUCAUUGGAGAGCUCUCUCUGGGCUUUCCGAAAAGGUAUCACAUGCCAAGUUUGGCCUCACGGUCUAAAAGUUAUAAAGUCAUACAUUUUUAACAAAAAAAAAAGAGAAAAACCGAAAAAAAGAGUUAUGUAACACGAGGACUUUCCUGGAGGUCACCCGUCCUAGUACUACUCUCGCCCAAACACGCUUAACUGUGGUGUUCUGAUAGGAUCAAGUGCAUUAGUGCUGGUAUGAUCGCAUCAGUUACUACAUGCAAUGCAAUCAUAUAUAUUCUUUUUUGAAAACUUUAUGAUCCAUUUGCCGUAGGUCCCACCAGCUAUGUCGGAAUACCCUAUCUUGUUUAUAAGAGCUUUGAUACAUGCAAAAUAUUCGAAAACAAUGUCCGAACAUAUAAUUUUUGUCCCGUAAUAUAGCAAAGAUCACGAAAAGGCCAAAAAAAAUACAUUUCGGUCAAAAUUUGGAGUAGAAAAAAACCCCUUCCUCAUUCAUUCGACAACUCUCUUUGGGCUUUCCGAAAAGGUAUCACAUGCCAAGUUUGGUCUCACGGUCUAAAAGUUAUAGAGUCAUACAUUUUUCACAAAAAAAAGAAGAGAAAAAACCAAAAAANAGAGUGAUGAAACACGAGGACUUUCCUGGAGGUCACUCAUGCUAGUACUACUCUCGCCCAAGCACGCUUAACUGCGAAGUUCUGAUGGGAUCNNNNNNNNNNNNNNNNNNNNNNNNNNNNNNNNNNNNNNNNNNNNNNNNNNNNNNNNNNNNNNNNNNNNNNNNNNNNNNNNNNNNNNNNNNNNNNNNNNNNUUAUGAUCCAUUUGCCGUGGGUCCCACCAGCUAUGUAGGAAUACCCUAUCUUCUUUAUAAGAGCUUUGAUACAUGGAAAAUAUUGGAAAACAAUGUCCGAACAUAUAAUUUCCCCCCCGUAAUAUAGCAAAGAUCACGAAAAGGCCCGAAAAAGUACAUUUAGUUUAAAAUUUGGAGUAGAAAAAAAAACAAUAGAAAAAAUCCAAUUUCCUCCCUCGUUCAUCGGAGAGCUCUCUUUGGGCUUUCCAAAAAGGUAUCACAAGACAAGUUUGGCCUCACCGUCUAAAAGUUAUAGAGUCAUACAUUUUUAACAAAACAAAAUAGAGAAAAACGGAAAAAAGAGGGAUGCAACAUGAGGACUUUCCGGGAGGUCACCCAUCCUAGUACUACUCUCGUCCAAGGACCCUUAACUGCGAAGUUCUGAUGGGAUCCGUUGCAUUAGUGCUGGUAUGAUCGCAUGUGUUACUACAUGCAAUGUAAUCGUAUCUAUUCUUUUUUAAAGACUUUAUGAUCCAUUUGCCGUGGGUCCCACCAGCUAUGUAGGAAAACCCAAUCUUCUUUAUAAGAGCUUUGAUACAUGCAAAAUAUUGGAAAACAAUGUCCGAACAUAUAAUUUUCCCCCAUAAUAUAGCAAAGAUCACGAAAAGGCCCGAAAAAGUACAUUUAGUUCAAAAUUUGGAGUAGAAAAAAAGGCAGUAAAAGAAUUCCAUUUUCCUUCCUCAGUGAUCGGAGAGCUCUCUUUGGACUUUCCGAAAAGGUAUCACAUGCCAAGUUUGGCCUCACGGUCUAAAAGUUAUAGAGUCAUACAUUUUUAACAAAACAAAAUAGAGAAAAACGGAAAAAAGAGGGAUGCAACACGAGGACUUUCCGGGAGGUCACCCAUCCUAGUACUACUUUCGCCCAAGCACCCUUAACUGCGGAGUUCUGAUGGGAUCCGGUGCAUUAGUGCUGGUAUGAUCGCAUGUGUUACUACAUGCAAUGUAAUCAUAUUUCUUGUUAUUUAAAGAUUUUAUGAUCCAUUUGCCGUGGGUCCCACCAGCUAUGUAGGAAUACCUUAUCUUCUUUAUAGGAGCUUUGAUACAUGCAAAAUAUUGGAAAACAAUAUCCGAACAUAUAUCUUUCCCCCCGUAAUAUAGCAAAGAUCGCGAAAAGGCCCGAAAAAGUACAUUUAGGUCAAAAUUUGGAGUAGAAAAAAAAAGCAAUAGAAGAAUUCCAUUUUCCUUCCUCAGUCAUCGGAGAGCUCUCUUUGGGCUUUCCGAAAAGGUAUCACAUGCCAAGUUUGGCCUCAUGGUCUAAAAGUUAUAGAGCCAUACAUUUUUAACAAAACAAAAUAGAGAAAAACCAAAAAAAGAGAGGGAUGCAACACGAGGACUUUCCGGGAGGUCACCCAUCCUAGUACUACUCUCGCCCAAGCACCCUUAACUGCGGAGUUCUGAUGGGAUCCAGUGCAUUAGUGCUGGUAUGAUCGCAUGUGUUACUACAUGCAAUGUAAUCGUAUCUAUUCUUUUUUAAAGAUUAUAUGAUCCAUUUGCCGUGGGUCCCACCAGCUAUGUAGGAAUACCCUAUCUUCUUUAUAAGAGCUUUGAUACAUGCAAAAUAUUGGAAAACAAUGUCCGAACAUAUAAUUUUCCCCCCGUAAUAUAGCAAAGAUCACGAAAAGGCCCAAAAAAGUACAUUUAGGUCAAAAUUUGGAGUUGAAAAAAAACAAAAAGAAGAAUUCCAUUUUCCUUCCUCAUUCAUUGGAGAGCUCUCUUUGGGCUUUCCGAAAAGGUAUCACAUGCCAUGUUUAGCCUCACGGUCUAAAAGUUAUAGAGUCAUACAUUUUUAACAAAACAAAAUAGAGAAAAACCAAAAAAACGAGGGAUGCAACACGAGGACUUUCUGGGAAGUCACCUAUCCUAGUACUACUCUCGCCCAAGCACCCUUAACUGCGGAGUUCUGAUGGGAUCCGGUGCAUUAGUGCUGGUAUGAUUGCAUGUGUUACUACAUGCAAUGUAAUCGUAUCUAAUGCUUUUAAAGACUUUAUGAUCCAUUUGCCGUGGGUCCCCACAAGCUAAGUAGGAAUACCCUAUCUUCUUUAUAAGAGUUUUCAUACAUGCAAAAUAUGGAAAACAAUGUCCGAACAUAUAUUUUCCCCCCGUAAUAUAGCAAAGAUCACGAAAAGGCCCACAAAAAGUACAUUUAGUUCAAAAUUUGGAGUAGAAAAAAAAACAAUAGAAAAGUUCCAAUUUCNNNNNNNNNNNNNNNNNNNNNNNNNNNNNNNNNNNNNNNNNNNNNNNNNNGGGUCCCACCAGCUACGUAGGAAUACCCUAUCUUGUUUAUAAGAGCUUUGAUACAUGCAAAAUAUUCGAAAACAAUGUCCGAACAUAUAAUUUUCGUCCCGUAAUAUAGCAAAGAUCACAAAAAGGCCAGAAAGAGUACAUUUACGUCAAAAUUUGGAUAGAAAAAAAACGAAUAGAAGAAUUCCAUUUUGACUUCCUCAUUCAUCGGAAAGCUCUCUUUGGGCUUUCCGAAAAGGUAUCACAUGCCAAGUUUGGAAUCACGGUUUAAAAGUUAUAGAGUCAUACAUUUUUAACAAAAAAUAAAGAGAAAACCCGAAAAAUGAGGGAUGCAACACGAGGACUUUUCGGGAGGUCACCCAUCGUAGUACUACUCUCGCCCAAGCACGCUUAACUGUAGAGUUCUGAUGGGAUCCGGUUCAUUAUUGCUGGUAUGAUCGCAUCCGUUACUACAUGCAAUGCAAUCGUAUCUAUUCUUUUUUGAAGACUUUAUGAUCCAUUUGCCGUGGGUCCCACCAGCUAUGUUGGAAUACCCUAUCUUGUUUAUAAGAGCUUUGUUACAUGCAAAAUAUUCGAAAACAAUGUCCGAACAUAUAAUAUUUGCCCCGUAAUAUAGCAAAGAUCACGAAAAGGCCAGAAAACCUAUAUUAAGUUCAAAAUUUGGAGUAGAAAAAAACCAAUAGAAGAAUUCCAUUUUCCUUCCUCACUCAUCGGAGAGCUCUCUUUGGGGCUUUCCGAAAAGGUAUCACAUGCAAAGUUUGGCCUCACAGGCUAAAAGUUAUAGAGUCGUACAUUUUUAACAAAAAAAAAAAGAGAAAAGCCGAAAAAAAGAAGGAUGCAACACAAGGACUUUCCGGGAGGUCAGCCAUCCUAAUAUUACUCUCGCCCAAGCACGCUUAACUGUAGAGUUCUGAUGGGAUCCGGUGCAUUAGUGCUGGUAUGAUCGCAUCUGUUACUACAUGCAAUGCAAUCGUAUCUAUUCUUUUUUUAAGACUUUAUGAUCCAUUUACCGUGGGUCCCACCAGCUACGUAGGAAUAACCUAUCUUAUUUAUAAGAGCUUUGAUACAUGCAAAAUAUUCGAAAACAAUGUCCGAACAUAUAAUUUUCGUCCCGUAAUAUAGCAAAGAUCACAAAAAGGCCAGAAAGAGUACAUUAAGGUCAAAAUUUUGGAGUAGAAAAAAAAACCCUUCCUCAUUCAUUAAAGAGCUCUCUUUGGCAUUUCCGAAAAGGUGUCACAUGCCAAGUUCGGCCUCACGGUCUAAAAGUUAUAGAGUCAUACAUUGUUAACAAAAAAAAAGAGAAAAACCGAUUAAAAGAGUUAUGCAACACAAGGACUUUCCUGGAGGUCACCCGUCCUAGUACUACUCUCGCCCAAGCACGCUUAAAUGCGGAGUUCUGAUGGGAUCCGGUCCAUGAGUGGUGGUAUGAUCACAUCCGUUACUACAUGCAAUGCAAUCGUAUCUAUUAUUUUUUGAAGACUUUAUGAUCCAUUUGCCGUGGGUCCCACCAGCUAUGUAGGAAUACCCUAUCUUGUUUAUAAGAGCUUUGAUACAUCCAAAAUAUUCGAAAACAAUGUUGGAACGUAUAAGUUUCGCUCAGUAAUAUAGCAAAGAUCACGAAAAGGCCACAAAAAGUACAUUAAGGUAAAAAUUUAGAGUAGGAAAAAAAAACAAUAGGAGAAUUCCAUGUUCCUUCCUCAAUCAUCGGAGAGCUCUCUUUGGGCUUUCCAAAAAGGUAUCACAUGCCAAGUUUGGCCUCACGGUCUAAAAGUUAUAGAGUCAUACAUUUUUAACAAAAAAAAAUAGAGAAAAACCAAAAAAAAGAGGGAUGCAACACGAAGACUUUCCUGGAGGUCACCCAUCCUAGUACUACUCUCGCCCAAGCACGCUUAACUGCGGUGUUCUGAUAGGAUCAAGUGCAUUAGUGCUGGUAGGAUCGCAUUCGUUACUACAUGCAAUGCAAUUAUAUAUAUUCUUUUUUGAAGACUUUAUGAUCCAUUUGCGGUAGGUCCCACCAGCUAUGUAGGAAUACCCUAUCUUGCUUAUAAGAGUUUUGAUACAUGCAAAAAUAUUCGAAAACAAUGUCCGAACAUAUAAUUUUUGUCCCGUAAUAUAACAAAGAUCACGAAAAGGCCAAAAAUAGUACAUUUCGGUCAAAACAUGGAGCAGAAAAAAAACCCCUUCCUCAUUCAUCGGAGAGCUCUCAUUGGGCUUUCCGAAAAGAUAUCACAUGCAAAGUUUGGCCUCACGGUUUAAAAGUUAUAGAGUCAAAUAUUUUUAACAAAAAAAAGAGAGAAAAACCGAAAACAAAGAGGGAUGCAACACGAGGACUUUCCGGAAGGUCACCCAUCCUAGUACUACUCUAGCCCAAGCACGCUUAACCGCGGAGUUCUGAUAGGAUCCGGUGCAUUAGUGCUGGUAUGAUCGCAUCAGUUACUACAUGCAAUGCAAUCAUAUAUAUUUUUUUUGAAGACUUUAUGAUCCAUUUGCCGUGGGUCCCACCAGCUAUGUAGGAAUACCUAUCUUGUUUAUAAGAGCUUUGAUACAUGCAAAAUAUUUGAAAACAAUGUCCGAACGUAUAAUCUUCGUCCCGUAAUAUAGCAAAGAUCACGAAAAGGCCAGAAAAAGUACAUUAAGGUCAAAAUUUUGACUAGAAAAAAAAAACAAUAGAAAAAUUCCAUUGUCCUUCCUCAUUCAUCGGAGAGUUCUCUUUGGGCUUUCCGAAAAGGUAUCACAUGCCAAGUUUGGCCUCACGGUCUAAAACUUAUAGAAUCAUACAUUCUUAACAAAAAAAAAAAAAAAACCGAAAAAAAGAAGAAUGCAACACAAGGACUUUCCAGGAGGUCAACCAUCCUAGUAGUACUCUCGCCCAAUCACGCUUAACUGCAGAGUUCUGAUGGGAUCCGGUGCAUUAGUGCUGGUAUGAUCGCAUCUGUUACUACAUGCAAUGCAAUCGUAUCUAUUCUUUUUUGAAGACUUUAUGAUCCAUUUGCCGUGGGUCCCACCAGCUAUGUAGGAAUACCUUAUCUUGUUUAUAAGAGCUUUGAUACAUGCAAAAUAUUCGAAUACAAUGUCUGAACGUAUAACUUUCGCCCCGUAAUAUAGCGAAGAUCACGAAAAGGCCCGAAAAAGUACAUUAAGGUCAAAAUUUCGAGUAGAAAUAAAAACCAAUAGAAGAAUUCCAAUUUCCUUCCUCAUUCAUUGGAGAGCUCUCUUUGGGCUUUCCGAAAAGGUAUCACAUGCGAAGUUUCGCCUCACAAUCUAAAAGUUAUAUAGUCAUACAUUUUUAACAAAACAAAUAGAGAAAAACCGAAAAAAAGAAUGAUACAACACAACGACUUUCCCGGAGGUCACCCAUCCUAAUACUAUUCUCGCCCAAGCAAGCUUAACUGCAGAGUAUUGAUGGGAUCUGAUGCAUAAGUGCUGAUAUGAUCGCAUCCGUUACUACAUGCAAUGCAAUCGUAUCUAUUCGUUUUUGAAGACUUUAUGAUCCAUUUGCCGUGGGUCCCACCAGCUAUGUAGGAAUACCCUAUCUUGUUUAUAAGAGCUUUGAUACAUGCAAAAAAUUGGAAAACAAUGUCUGAACAUAUAAUUUUUGUCCCGUAAUAUAGCAAAGAUCACGAAAAGGAUAGAAAAAGUACAUUAAGGUCAAAAUUUUGAGUAGAAAAAAAAUCAAUAGAAGGAUUCCAAUUUCCUUGCUCAUUCAUAUAGCUCUCUUUGGGCUUUCCGAAAAGGUAUCACAUGCAAAGUUUGGCCUCGCGGUCUAAAAGUUAUAGAGGUAUACUUUUUUACCAAAAAAAAAGAAGAAAAAAACCAAAAAAAAGAGGGAUUCAACACGAGGACUUUCUGGGAGGUCACUCAUCCUAUUACUACUCUCGCCCAAGCACGCUUAACUGCGGAGUUCUGAUAGGAUCCAGUGCAUUAGUGCGGGUAUGAUCACAUCCGUUACUACAUGCAAUGCAAUCGUAUAUAUUUUUUUUGAAGACUUUAUGAUCCAUUUGCCGUGGGUCUCACCAGCUAUAUAGGAAUACCCUAUCUUGUUUAUAAGAGCUUUGAUACAUGCAAAAUAUUUGAAAACAAUGUCCGAACGUAUAAUCUUCGUCCCGUAAUAUAGCAAAGAUCACUAAAAGGCUAGAAAAAGUACAUUAAGAUCAAAAUUUUGAGUAGAAAAAUAAACAAUAGAAAAAUUCCAUUGUCCUUCCUCAUUCAUCGGAGAGUUCUCUUUGGGCUUUCCGAAAAGGUAUCACAUGCCAAGUUUGGCCUCACGGUCUAAAACUUAUAGAAUCAUACAUUCUUAACAAAAAAAAAAGAGAAAAACCGAAAAAAAGAAGAAUUUAACACAAGGACUUUCCAGGAGGUCAACCAUCCUAGUAGUACUCUCGCCCAAUCACGCUUAACUGCAGAGUUCUGAUGGGAUCCGGUGCAUUAGUGCUGGUAUGAUCGCAUCUGUUACUACAUGCAAUGCAAUCGUAUCUGUUACUACAUGCAAUGCAAUCGUAUCUGUUACUACAUGCAAUGCAAUCGUAUCUAUUCUUUUUUGAAGACUUUAUGAUCCAUUUGCCGUGGGUCCCACCAGCUAUGUAGGAAUACCCUAUCUUGUUUAUAAGAGCUUUGAUACAUGCAAAAUAUUCGAAUACAAUGUCUAAACGUAUAAGUUUCGCCCCGUAAUAUAGCGAAGAUCACGAAAAGGCCCGAAAAAGUACAUUAAGGUCAAAAUUUGGAGUAGAAAUAAAAACCAAUAGAAGAAUUCCAAUUUCCUUCCUCAUUCAUUGGAGAGCUCUCUUUGGGCUUUCCGAAAAGGUAUCACAUGCGAAGUUUGGCCUCACAAUCUAAAAGUUAUAUAGUCAUACAUUUUUAACAAAACAAAUAGAGAAAAACCGAAAAAAAGAAUGAUACAACACAAGGACUUUCCGGGAGGUCACCCAUCCUAAUACUAUUCUCGCCCAAGCAAGCUUAACUGCAGAGUAUUGAUGGGAUCUGAUGCAUAAGGGCUGAUAUGAUCGCAUCCGUUACUACAAGCAAUGCAAUCGUAUCUAUUCGUUUUUGAAGACUUUAUGAUCCAUUUGCCGUGGGUCCCACCAGCUAUGUAGGAAUACCCUAUCUUGUUUAUAAGAGCUUUGAUACAUGCAAAAAAUUGGAAAACAAUGUCUGAACAUAUAAUUUUUGUCCCGUAAUAUAGCAAAGAUCACGAAAAGGAUAGAAAAAGUACAUUAAGGUCAAAAUUUUGAGUAGAAAAAAAAUCAAUAGAAGGAUUCCAAUUUCCUUCCUCAUUCAUAUAGCUCUCUUUGGGCUUUCCGAAAAGGUAUCACAUGCAAAGUUUGGCCCCGCGGUCUAAAAGUUAUAGAGGUAUACAUUUUUACCAAAAAAAAGAGGGAUUCAACACGAGGACUUUUUUNNNNNNNNNNNNNNNNNNNNNNNNNNNNNNNNNNNNNNNNNNNNNNNNNNUGCUGGUAUGAUCGCAUCAGUUACUACAUGCAAUGCAAUCAUAUAUAUUCUUUUUUGAAGACUUUAUGAUCCAUUUGCCGUAGGUCCCACCAGCUAUGUAGGAAUACCCUAUCUUGUUUAUAAGAGCUUUGAUACAUGCAAAAUAUUCGAAAACAAUGUCCGAACAUAUAAUUUUUGUCCCGUAAUAUAGCAAAGAUCACGAAAAGGCCAGAAAAAAUACAUUUCGGUCAAAAUUUGGAGUAGAAAAAAAGCCCUUCCUCAUUCAUUGGACAGCUCUCUUUGGGCUUUCCGAAAAGGUAUCACAUGCCAAGUUUGGCCUCACGGUCUAAACCUUAUAGACUCAUACAUUUUUCACAAAAAAAAGAAGAGAAAAACCAAAAAAAAGAGUGAUUAAACACGAGGAUUUUCCUGGAGGUCACCCAUCCUAGUACUACUCUCGCCCAAGCACGCUUAACUGCGAAGGUCUGAUGGGAUAUGGUGCAUUAGUGCUGGUAUGAUCGCAUCUGUUACUACAUGCAAUGCAAUCGUAUCUAUUCUUUUUUGAAGAUUUGAUGAUUCAUUUACCGUGGGUCCCACCAGCUAUGUAGGAAUAACCUAUCUUAUUUAUAAAAGCUUUGAUACAUGCAAAAUAUUCGAAAACAAUGUCCGAACAUAUAAUGUUCGCCCCAAAAUAUAGCAAAGACCACAAAAAUGCCAUAAAAAGUACAUUAAGGUCAAAAUUUGGAGUAGGAAAAAAAUCAAUAGGAGAAUUCCAUUUUCCUUCCCUCAUUCAUCAGAGAGCUCUCUUUGGGCAUUCCAAAAAGGUAUCACAUGCCAAGUUUGGCCUCACGGUCUAAAAGUUAUAGAGUAUUACAUUUUUAACAAAAAAAAAAGGGAAAAACCGAAAAAGAGGGAUGCAACACGAAGACUUUUCUGGAGGUCACCCAUUCUAGUACUACUCUCCCCCAAGCACGCUUAACUGUGGUGUUCUAAUAGGAUCAAGUGCAUUAGUGCUGGUAUGAUCGCAUCAGUUACUACAUGCAAUGCAAUCAUAUAUAUUCUUUUUUGAAGACUUUAUGAUCCAUUUGCCGUAGGUCCCACCAGCUAUGUAGGAAUACCCUAUCUUGUUUAUAAGAGCUUUGAUACAUGCAAAAUAUUCGAAAACAAUGUCCGAACAUAUAAUUUUUGUCCCGUAAUAUAGCAAAGAUCACGAAAAGGCCAGAAAAAAUACAUUUCGGUCAAAAUUUGGAGUAGAAAAAAAGCCCUUCCUCAUUCAUUGGACAGCUCUCUUUGGGCUUUCCGAAAAGGUAUCAUAUGCCAAGUUUGGCCUCACGGUCUAAACCUUAUAGACUCAUACAUUUUUCACAAAAAAAAGAAGAGAAAAACCAAAAAAAAGAGUGAUUAAACACGAGGACUUUCCUGGAGGUCAUCCAUCCUAGUACUACUCUCGCCCAAGCACGCUUAAUUGCGAAGUUCUGAUGGGAUCUGGUGCAUUAGUGCUGGUAUGAUCGCAUAUGUUACUACAUGCAAUGCAAUCGUAUCUAUUCUUUUUUGAAGAUUUUAUGAUUCAUUUACCGUGGGUACCACCAGCUAUGUAGGAAUAACCUAUCUUAUUUAUAAGAGCUUUGAUACAUGCAAAAUAUUCGAAAACAAUGUCCGAACAUAUAAUUUUUGUCCCGUAAUAUAGCAAAGAUCACGAAAAGGCCAGAAAAAAUACAUUUCGGUCAAAAUUUGGAGUAGAAAAAAACCCUUCCUCAUUCAUUGGACAGCUCUGUUUGAGCUUUCCGAAAAGGUAUCACAUGCCAAGUUUGGCCUCACGGUCUAAAAGUUAUAGAGUCAUACAUUUUUCACAAAAAAAAGAAGAGAAAAACCAAAAAAAAGAGUGAUGAAACACGAGGACUUUCCUGGAGGUCACCCAUCCUAGUACUACUCUCGCCCAAGCACGCGUAACUGCGAAGUUCUGAUGGGAUCUGGUGCAUUAGUGCUGGUAUGAUCGCAUCUGUUACUACAUGCAAUGCAAUCGUAUCUAUUCUUUUUUGAAGAUUUUAUGAUUCAUUUACCGUGGGUCCCACCAGCUAUGUAGGAAUAACCUAUCUUAUUUAUAAGAGCUUUGAUACAUGCAAAAUAUUGGAAAACAAUGUCCGAACAUAUAAUGUUCGCCCCAAAAUAUAGCAAAGACAACAAAAAUCCCAUAAAAAGUACAUUAAGGUCAAAAUUUGGAGUAGGAAAAAAAUCAAUAAGAGAAUUCCAUUUUCCUUCCCUCAUUCAUCGGAGAGGUCUCUUUGGGCAUUCCAAAAAGGUAUCACAUGCCAAGUUUGGCCUCACGGUCUAAAAGUUAUAGAGUAAUACAUUUUUAACAAAAAAAAAAGAGAAAAACCGAAAAAAAGAGGGAUGCAACACGAAGACUUUUCUGGAGGUCACCCAUCCUAGUACUACUCUCCCAAAGCACGCUUAACUGUGGUGUUCUGAUAGGAUCAAGUGCAUUAGUGCGGGUAUGAUCGCAUCAGUUACUACAUGCAAUGCAAUCAUAUAUAUUCUUUUUUGAAGACUUUAUGAUCCAUUUGCCGUAGGUCCCACCAGCUAUGUAGGAAUACCCUAUCUUGUUUAUAAGAGCUUUGAUACAUGCAAAAUAUUCGAAAACAAUGUCCGAACAUAUAAUUUUUGUCCCGUAAUAUAGCAAAGAUCACGAAAAGGCCAGGAAAAAUACAUUUCGGUCAAAAUUUGGAGUAGAAAAAAAACCCUUCCUCAUUCAUUGGACAGCUCUCUUUGGGCUUUCCGAAAAGGUAUCACAUGCCAAGUUUGGCCUCACGGUCUAAAAGUUAUAGAUUCAUACAUUUUUCACAAAAAAAAGAAGAGAAAAACCAAAAAAAAGAGGGAUGAAACACGAGGACUUUCCCAGAGGUCACCCAUCCUAGUACUACUCUCGCCCAAGCACGCUUAACUGCGAAGUUCUGAUGGGAUCUGGUGCAUUAGUGCUGGUAUGAUCGCAUCUGUUACUACAUGCAAUGCAAUCGUAUCUAUUCUUUUUUGAAGAUUUUAUGAUUCAUUUACCGUGGGUCCCACCAGCUAUGUAGGAAAACCUAUCUUAUUUAUAAGAUCUUUGAUACAUGCAAAAUAUUGGAAAACAAUGUCCGAACAUAUAAUGUUCGCCCCAAAAUAUAGCGAAGACCACAAAAAUGCCAUAAAAAGUACAUUAAGGUCAAAAUUUGGAGUAGGAAAAAAAUCAAUAGGAGAAUUCCAUUUUCCUUCCCUCAUUCAUCGGAGAGCUCUCUUUGGGCAUUCCAAAAAGGUAUCACAUGCCAAGUUUGGCCUCACGGUCUAAAAGUUAUAGAAUAUUACAUUUUUAACAAAAAAAAAGAGAAAAACCAAAAAAAAGAGGGAUGCAACACGAGGACUUUUCUGGAGGUCACCCAUCCUACUACUACUCUCGCCCAAGCACACUUAACUGCGGUGUUCUGAUAGGAUCAAGUGCAUUAGUGCUGGUAUGAUCGCAUCAGUUACUACAUGCAAUGCAAUCAUAUAUAUUCUUUUUUGAAGACUUUAUGAUCCAUUUGCCGUAGGUCCCACCAGCUAUGUAGGAAUACCCUAUCUUGUUUAUAAGAGCUUUGAUACAUGCAAAAUAUUCGAAAACAAUGUCCGAACAUAUAAUUUUUGUCCCGUAAUAUAGCAAAGAUCACGAAAAGGCCAGAAAAAAUACAUUUUGGUCAAAAUUUGGAGUAGAAAAAAAGCCCUUCCUCAUUCAUUGGACAGCUCUCUUUGGGCUUUCCGAAAAGGUAUCACAUGCCAAGUUUGGCCUCACGGUCUAAACCUUAUAGACUCAUACAUUUUUCACAAAAAAAAGAAGAGAAAAACCAAAAAAAAGAGUGAUUAAACACGAGGAUUUUCCUGGAGGUCACCCAUCCUAGUACUACUCUCGCCCAAGCACGCUUAACUGCGAAGGUCUGAUGGGAUAUGGUGCAUUAGUGCUGGUAUGAUCGCAUCUGUUACUACAUGCAAUGCAAUCGUAUCUAUUCUUUUUUGAAGAUUUGAUGAUUCAUUUACCGUGGGUCCCACCAGCUAUGUAGGAAUAACCUAUCUUAUUUAUAAAAGCUUUGAUACAUGCAAAAUAUUCGAAAACAAUGUCCGAACAUAUAAUGUUCGCCCCAAAAUAUAGCAAAGAUCACAAAAAUGCCAUAAAAAGUACAUUAAGGUCAAAAUUUGGAGUAGGAAAAAAAUCAAUAGGAGAAUUCCAUUUUCCUUCCCUCAUUCAUCGGAGAGCUCUCUUUGGGCAUUCCAAAAAGGUAUCACAUGCCAAGUUUGGCCUCACGGUCUAAAAGUUAUAGAGUAUUACAUUUUUAACAAAAAAAAAAGGGAAAAACCGAAAAAGAGGGAUGCAACACGAAGACUUUUCUGGAGGUCACCCAUCCUAGUACUACUCUCCCCCAAGCACGCUUAACUGUGGUGUUCUAAUAGGAUCAUGUGCAUUAGUGCUGGUAUGAUCGCAUCAGUUACUACAUGCAAUGCAAUCAUAUAUAUUCUUUUUUGAAGACUUUAUGAUCCAUUUGCCGUAGGUCCCACCAGCUAUGUAGGAAUACCCUAUCUUGUUUAUAAGAGCUUUGAUACAUGCAAAAUAUUCGAAAACAAUGUCCGAACAUAUAAUUUUUGUCCCGUAAUAUAGCAAAGAUCACGAAAAGGCCAGAAAAAAUACAUUUCGGUCAAAAUUUGGAGUAGAAAAAAAGCCCUUCCUCAUUCAUUGGACAGCUCUCUUUGGGCUUUCCGAAAAGGUAUCAUAUGCCAAGUUUGGCCUCACGGUCUAAACCUUAUAGACUCAUACAUUUUUCACAAAAAAAAGAAGAGAAAAACCAAAAAAAAGAGUGAUUAAACACGAGGACUUUCUUGGAGGUCAUCCAUCCUAGUACUACUCUCGCCCAAGCACGCUUAACUGCGAAGUUCUGAUGGGAUCUGGUGCAUUAGUGCUGGUAUGAUCGCAUCUGUUACUACAUGCAAUGCAAUCGUAUCUAUUCUUUUUUGAAGAUUUUAUGAUUCAUUUACCGUGGGUACCACCAGCUAUGUAGGAAUAACCUAUCUUAUUUAUAAGAGCUUUGAUACAUGCAAAAUAUUCGAAAACAAUGUCCGAACAUAUAAUUUUUGUCCCGUAAUAUAGCAAAGAUCACGAAAAGGCCAGAAAAAAUACAUUUUGGUCAAAAUUUGGAGUAGAAAAAAACCCUUCCUCAUUCAUUGGACAGCUCUGUUUGAGCUUUCCGAAAAGGUAUCACAUGCCAAGUUUGGCCUCACGGUCUAAAAGUUAUAGAGUCAUACAUUUUUCACAAAAAAAAAGAAGAGAAAAACCAAAAAAAAGAGUGAUGAAACACGAGGACUUUCCUGGAGGUCACCCAUCCUAGUACUACUCUCGCCCAAGCACGCGUAACUACGAAGUUCUGAUGGGAUCUGGUGCAUUAGUGCUGGUAUGAUCGCAUCUGUUACUACAUGCAAUGCAAUCGUAUCUAUUCUUUUUUGAAGAUUUUAUGAUUCAUUUACCGUGGGUCCCACCAGCUAUGUAGGAAUAACCUAUCUUAUUUAUAAGAGCUUUGAUACAUGCAAAAUAUUGGAAAACAAUGUCCGAACAUAUAAUGUUCGCCCCAAAAUAUAGCAAAGACAACAAAAAUGCCAUAAAAAGUACAUUAAGGUCAAAAUUUGGAGUAGGAAAAAAAUCAAUAAGAGAAUUCCAUUUUCCUUCCCUCAUUCAUCGGAGAGCUCUCUUUGGGCAUUCCAAAAAGGUAUCACAUGCCAAGUUUGGCCUCACGGUCUAAAAGUUAUAGAGUAGUACAUUUUUAACAAAAAAAAAAGAGAGAAACCGAAAAAAAGAGGGAUGCAACACGAAGACUUUUCUGGAGGUCACCCAUCCUAGUACUACUCUCCCAAAGCACGCUUAACUGUGGUGUUCUGAUAGGAUCAAGUGCAUUAGUGCGGGUAUGAUCGCAUCAGUUACUACAUGCAAUGCAAUCAUAUAUAUUCUUUUUUGAAGACUUUAUGAUCCAUUUGCCGUAGGUCCCACCAGCUAUGUAGGAAUACCCUAUCUUGUUUAUAAGAGCUUUGAUACAUGCAAAAUAUUCGAAAACAAUGUCCGAACAUAUAAUUUUUGUCCCGUAAUAUAGCAAAGAUCACGAAAAGGCCAGGAAAAAUACAUUUCGGUCAAAAUUUGGAGUAGAAAAAAAACCCUUCCUCAUUCAUUGGACAGCUCUCUUUGGGCUUUCCGAAAAGGUAUCACAUGCCAAGUUUGGCCUCACGGUCUAAAAGUUAUAGAUUCAUACAUUUUUCACAAAAAAAAGAAGAGAAAAACCAAAAAAAAGAGGGAUGAAACACGAGGACUUUCCCAGAGGUCACCCAUCCUAGUACUACUCUCGCCCAAGCACGCUUAACUGCGAAGUUCUGAUGGGAUCUGGUGCAUUAGUGCUGGUAUGAUCGCAUCUGUUACUACAUGCAAUGCAAUCGUAUCUAUUCUUUUUUGAAGAUUUUAUGAUUCAUUUACCGUGGGUCCCACCAGCUAUGUAGGAAAACCUAUCUUAUUUAUAAGAUCUUUGAUACAUGCAAAAUAUUGGAAAACAAUGUCCGAACAUAUAAUGUUCGCCCCAAAAUAUAGCGAAGACCACAAAAAUGCCAUAAAAAGUACAUUAAGGUCAAAAUUUGGAGUAGGAAAAAAAUCAAUAGGAGAAUUCCAUUUUCCUUCCCUCAUUCAUCGGAGAGCUCUCUUUGGGCAUUCCAAAAAGGUAUCACAUGCCAAGUUUGGCCUCACGGUCUAAAAGUUAUAGAAUAUUACAUUUUUAACAAAAAAAAAGAGAAAAACCGAAAAAAAGAGGGAUGCAACACGAAGACUUUUCUGGAGGUCACCCAUCCUACUACUACUCUCGCCCAAGCACACUUAACUGCGGUGUUCUGAUAGGAUCAAGUGCAUUAGUGCUGGUAUGAUCGCAUCAGUUACUACAUGCAAUACAAUCAUAUAUAUUCUUUUUUGAAGACUUUAUGAUCCAUUUGCCGUAGGUCCCACCAGCUAUGUAGGAAUACCUUAUCUUGUUUAUAAGAGCUUUGAUACAUGCAAAAUAUUCGAAAACAAUGUCCGAACAUAUAAUUUUUGUCCCGUAAUAUAGCAAAGAUCACGAAAAGGCCAGAAAAAAUACAUUUCGGUCAAAAUUUGGAGUAGAAAAAAAACCCUUCCUCAUUCAUUGGACAGCUCUCUUUGGGCUUUCCGAAAAGGUAUCACAUGCCAAGUUUGGCUUCACGGUCUAAACCUUAUAGACUCAUACAUUUUUCACAAAAAAAAGAAGAGAAAAACAAAAAAAAAGAGUGAUUAAACACGAGGACUUUCCUGGAGGUCACCCAUCCUAGUACUACUCUCGCCCAAGCACUCUUAACUGCGAAGUUCUGAUGGGAUCUGGUGCAUUAGUGCUGGUAUGAACGCAUCUGUUACUACAUGCAAUGCAAUCGUAUGUAUUCUUUUUUGAAGAUUUUAUGAUUCAUUUACCGUGGGUCCCACCAGCUAUGUAGGAAUAACCUAUCUUAUUUAUAAAAGCUUUGAUACAUGCAAAAUAUUCGAAAACAAUGUCCGAACAUAUAAUGUUCGCCCCAAAAUAUAGCAAAGACCACAAAAAUGCCAUAAAAAGUACAUUAAGGUCAAAAUUUGGAGUAGGAAAAAAAUCAAUAGGAGAAUUCCAUUUUCCUUCCCUCAUUCAUCGGAGAGCUCUCUUUGGGCAUUCCAAAAAGGUAUCACAUGCCAAGUUUGGCCUCACGGUCUAAAAGUUAUAGAGUAUUACAUUUUUAACAAAAAAAAAAAGAGAAAAACCGAAAAAAAGAGGGAUGCAACACGAAGACUUUUCUGGAGGUCACCCAUCCUAGUACUACUCUCCCCCAAGCACGCUUAACUGUGGUGUUCUGAUAGGAUCAAGUGCAUUAGUGCUGGUAUGAUCGCAUCAGUUACUACAUGCAAUGCAAUCAUAUAUAUUCUUUUUUGAAGACUUUAUGAUCCAUUUGCCGUAGGUCCCACCAGCUAUGUAGGAAUACCCUAUCUUGUUUAUAAGAGCUUUGAUACAUGCAAAAUAUUCGAAAACAAUGUCCGAACAUAUAAUUUUUGUCCCGUAAUAUAGCAAAGAUCACGAAAAGGUCAGAAAAAAUAUAUUUCGGUCAAAAUUUGGAGUAGAAAAAAAGCCCUUCCUCAUUCAUUGGACAGCUCUCUUUGGGCUUUCCGAAAAGGUAUCACAUGCCAAGUUUGGCCUCACGGUCUAAACCUUAUAGACUCAUACAUUUUUCAUAAAAAAAAGAAGAGAAAAACAAAAAAAAAAAGAGUGAUUAAACACGAGGACUUUCCUGGAGGUCACCCAUCCUAGUACUACUCUCGCCCAAGCACGCUUAACUACGAAGUUCCGAUGGGAUCUGAUGCAUUAGUGCUGGUAUGAUCGCAUCUGUUACUACAUGCAAUGCAAUCGUAUCUAUUCUUUUUUGAAGAUUUUAUGAUUCAUUUACUGUGGGUCCCACCAGCUAUGUAGGAAUAACCUAUCUUAUUUAUAAAAGCUUUGAUACAUGCAAAAUAUUGGAAAACAAUGUCCGAACAUAUAAUGUUCGCCCCAAAAUAUAGCAAAGACCACAAAAAUGCCAUAAAAAGUACAUUAAGGUCAAAAUUUGGAGUAGGAAAAAAAUCAAUAGGAGAAUUCCAUUUUCCUUCCCUCAUUCAUCGGAGAGCUCUCUUUGGGCAUUCCAAAAAGGUAUCACAUGCCAAGUUUGGCCUCACGGUCUAAAAGUUAUAGAGUAAUACAUUUUUAACAAAAAAAAAAAAGAAAAAAACCGAAAACAAAGAGGGAUGCAACACGAAGACUUUCCUGGAGGUCACCCAUCCUAGUACUACUCUCACCCAAGCACACNUUAACUGUGGUGUUCUGAUAGGAUCAAGUGCAUUAGUGCUGGUAUGAUCGCAUCAGUUACUACAUGCAAUGCAAUCNNNNNNNNNNNNNNNNNNNNNNNNNNNNNNNNNNNNNNNNNNNNNNNNNNCUCCUCAGUCAUCUUUGAGCUCUCUUUGGGCUUUCCGAAAAGGUAUCACAUGCCCAGUUUGGCCUCACGGUCUAAAAGUUAUAAAGUCAUACAUUUUUAACAAAAAAAAAAGAGAAAAACCGAAAAAAAGAGGGAUGCAAUACGAGGACUUUCCACGAGGUCACCCAUCCUAGUACAACUCUCGCCAAAGCAUGCUUAACUGCGGAGUUUAGAUGGGAUCUGGUGCAUUAGUGCUGGUAUGAUCGCAUCUGUUACUACAUGCAAUGCAAUCGUAUCUAUUCUUAUUUAAAGACUUUAUCAUCCAUUUGCCAUGGGUCCCACCUGUAGGAAUACCCAAUCUUGUUUAUAAGAGCUUUGAUACAUGCAAAAUAUUCGAAAACAACGUCCGAACAUAUAAUUUUCGCCCCGUAAUAUAGCAAAGAUCACGAAAAGGCCCGAAAAAGUACAUUAAGGUCAAAAUUUGGAAUAGAAAAAAAAACCAAAAGAAGUAUUCCAUUGUCCUUUGUCAUUCAUCGAAGAGCUCUCUUUGGGCUUUCCGAAAAGGUAUCGCAAGCCAAGUUUGGCCUCACGGUUUAAAAGUUAUAAAGUCAUACAUUUUUAACAAAAAAAAAAAGAGAAAAAACCGAAAAAAAGAGGGAUGCAACACGAGGACUUUUCUGGAGGUCACCCAUCCUAGUACUACUCUCGCCCGAUCACCCUUAACUGCGUAGUUUUGAUGGGAUUCGAUGCAUUAGUGCUGGUAUGAUCGCAUCUGUUACUACAUGCAAUGUAAUCGUAUCUAUUCUUUUUUAAAGACUUUAUGAUCCAUUUGCCGUGGGUCCCACCAGCUAUGUAGGAAUACCCUAUCUUCUUUAUAAGAGCUUUGAUAUAUGCAAAAUAGUGGAAAACCAUGUCCGAACAUAUAAUUUUUCCCCUGUAAUAUAGCAAAGAUCAAGAAAAAGCCAAAAAAAGUAUAUUUAGGUCAAAAUUUGGAGUAGAAAAAAAAACAAUAGAAGAAUUCCAUUUUCCUUCCUCAGUCAUCGGAGAGCUCUCUUUCGGCUUUCCGAAAAGGUAUCAAAUGCCAAGUUUGGCCUCACGGUCUAAAAGUUAUAGAGUCAUACAUUUUUAACAAUACAAAGUAGAGAAAACCGGAAAAAAGAGGGAUGCAACAUGAGGACUUUCCGGGAGGUAAUCCAUCCUAGUACAACUCUUGCCCAAGCACCCUUAACUGCGGAGUUCUGAUGGAAUCCGGUGCAUUAGUGCUGGUAUGAUCGCAUCUGUUACUACAUGCAAUGUAAUCGUAUCUAUUUUUUUUUAAAGACUUUAUGAUCCAUUUGCCGUGGGUCCCACCAGCUAUGUAGGAAUACCCUAUCUUCUUUAUAAGAGCUUUGAUACAUGCAAAAUAUAUGAAAAAACGUUCGAACAUAUAAUUUUUCCCCCCGUAAUAUAGCAAAGAUCACGAAAAGGCCCGAAAAAGUACAUUUAGUUCAAAAUUUGGAGUAGAAAAACCCAAUAGAAGAAUUCCAUUUUCCUUCGUCAUUCAUCGGAGAGCUCUCUUUGGGCUUUCCGAAAAGGUAUCACAUGCCAAGUUUGGCCUCACGGUCUAAAAGUUAUAGAGUCAUACAUUUUUAACAAAACAAAAUUGAGAAAAACCGAAAAAAGAGGGAUGCAACACGAGGACUCUCCAGAAGGUAACCCAUCUUAGUACUACUUUCGCCCAAGCACCCUUAACUGCGGAGUUCUGAUAGGACCCGGUGCAUUAGUGCUGGUAUGAUCGCAUGUGUUACUACAUGCAAUGUAAUCGUAUAUAUUCAUUUUUAAAGACUUUAUGAUCCAUUUGCCGUGGGUCCUACCAGCUAUGUAGAAAUACCCUAUCUUCUUUAUAAGAGCUUUCAUUCACGCAAAAUAAUGGAAAACAAUGUCCGAAGAUAUAAUUCCCCCCCCCCCCCCCCCGUAAUAUAGCAAAGAUCACGAAAAGGCCCGAAAAAGUACAUUAAGUUCAAAAUUUGGAGUAGAAAAAAAAACAAUAGAAGAAUUCCAUUUUCCUUCCUCAGUCAUCGGAGAGCUCUCUUUGGGCUUUCCGAAAAGGUAUCACAUGCCAAGUUUGGCCUCACGGUCUAAAGGUUAUAGAGUCAUACAUUUUUAACAAAAAAAAAUAGAAAAACAGAAAAAAGAGGGAUGCAAUACGAGGACUUUCCAGGAGGUCACCCAUCCUAGUACAACUCUCGCCGAAGCACGCUUAACUACGGUGUUCAGAUGGAAUCUGGUGCAUUAGUGCUGGUAUGAUGUCAUUUGUUACUACAUGCAAUGCAAUCAUAUCUAUUCUUAUUUAAAGACUUUAUGAUCCAUUUGCCGUGGGUCCCACCUGUAGGAAUACCCUAUCUUGUUUAUAAAAGAUUUGAUACAUGCAAAAUACUCGAAAACAAUGUCCGAACAUAUAAUUUUCACCCCGUAAUAUAGCAAAGAUCACGAAAAGGCCCGAAAAAGUACAUUAAAGUCAAAAUUUGGAGUAGAAAAAAACCCAAUAGAAGUAUUCCAUUCUCCUUCGUCAUUCAUCGGAGAGCUCUCUUUAGGCUUUCCGAAAAGAUAUCACAUGCCAAGUUUGGCCUCACGGUUUAAAAGUUAUAGAGUCAUAGAUUUUUAACAAAACAAAAAGAGAAAAACCGAAAAAAAAUUGGGAUGCAACACGAGGACUUUCCUGGAGGUCACCCAUCCUAGUACUACUCUUGCCCAAGCACCCUUAACUGCGUAGUUCUGAUGGGAUCCGAUGCUUUAGGGCUGGUAUGAUCGCAUCUGUUACUACAUGCAAUGUAAUCGUAUCUAUUCUUUUUUAAAGACUUUAUGAUCCAUUUGCCGUGGGUCCCACCAGCUAUGUAGGAAUACCCUAUCUUCUUUAUAAGAGCUUUGAUAAAUGCAAAAUAUUGGAAAGCAAUGUCCGAACAUAUAAUUUCGCCCCCGUAAUAUAGCAAAGAUCACGAAAAAGCCCAAAAAAGUUCAUUUAGGUCAAAAUUUGAGCAGAAGAAAAAGAAAUAGAAGAAUUCCAUUUUCCUUCCUCAUUUAUUGGAGAGCUCUCUUUGGGCUUUCCGAAAAGGUAUCACAUGCCAAGUUUGGCCUCACGGUCUAAAAGUUAUAGAGUCAUACAGUUUUAACAAAAUGAAAUAGAGAAAAACCGAAAAAAAGAGGGAUGUAACACGAGGACUUUCCGGGAGGUAAUCUAUCCUACUACUACUCUCGGCCAAGCACCCUUAACUGCGGAGUUCUAAUGGGAUCCGGUGCAUUAGUGCUAGUAUGAUCGCAUGUGUUACUACAUGCAAUGUAAUCGUAUCUAUUCUUUUUUAAAGACUUUAUGAUCCAUUUGCCGUGGGUCCCACCAGCUAUGUAGGAAUACCCUAUCUUCUUUAUAAGAGCUUUGAUACAUGCAAAAUAUAUGAAAAAAACGUCCGAACAUAUAAUUUUCCCCCCGUAAUAUAGCAAAGAUCAUGAAAAGGCCCAAAAAAGUACAUUAAUGUCAAAAUUUGGCGUAGAAAAAAAACCAAUAGACAUAUUCCAUUGUCCUUCAUCAUUCAUUGAAGAGCUCUCUUUGGGCUUUCCGAAAAGGUAUCACAUGCCAAGUUUGGCCUCACGGUCUAAAAGUUAUAGAGUCAUACAUUUUUAACAAUACAAAAUAGAGAAAAACCGAAAAAAAGAGGGAUGCAACACGAGGACUUUCCGGGAGGUAAUCCAUCCUAGUACUACUCUCGCCCAAGCACCCUUAACUGCGGAGUUCUGAUGGGACCCGGUGCAUUAGUGCUGGUAUGAUCGCAUCUGUUACUAUAUGCAAUGUAAUCGUAUCUAUUCUUUUUUAAAGACUUUAUGAUCCAUUUGCCGUGGGUCCCACCAGCUAUGUAGGAAUACCCUAUCUUCUUUAUAAGAGCUUUGAUAUAUGCAAAAUAUUGGAACACCAUGUCCGAACAUAUAAUUUUUCCCGUGUAAUAUAGCAAAGAUCAAGAAAAAGACAAAAGAGUACAUUUAGGUCAAAAUUUGAGUAGAAAAAAACAAAUAGAAGAAUUCCAUUUUCCUUCCUCAUUCAGCUGAGAGCUCUCUUUGGGCUUUCCGAAAAGGUAUCAUAUGCCAAGUUUGGCCUCACAGUGUAAAAGUUAUAGAGUCUAACAUUUUUAACAAAACAAAAUAGAGAAAAACCAAAAAAAGAGGGAUGCAACACGAGGACUUUCUGGGAGGUCACCCAUCCUAGUACUACUCUCGCCCAAGCACCCUUAACUGCGGAGUUCUGAUGGGAUCCGGUGCAUUAGUGCAGGUAUGAUCGCAUGUGUUACUACAUGCAAUGUAAUCCUAUCUAUUCUUUCUUAAAGACUUUAUGAUCCAUUUGCCGUGAGUCCCACCAGCUAUGUAGGAAUACCCUAUCUUCUUUAUAAGAGCUUUGAUACAUGCAAAAUAUUGGAAAACAAUAUCCGAACAUAUAGUUUUCCCCCCGUAAUAUAGCAAAGAUCACGAAAAGGCCCGAAAAAGUACAUUUAGUUCAAAAUUGGGAGUAGAAAAAAAAACAAUAGAAGAAUUCCAUUUUACUUCCUCAGUCAUCGGAGAGCUCUCUUUGGGCUUUCCGAAAAGGUAUCACAUGCCCAGUUUGGCCUCACGGUCUAAAAGUUAUAAAGUCAUACAUUUUUAACAAAAACAAAAGAGAAAAACCGAAAAAAAAGAGGGAUGCAAUACGAGGACUUUCCACGAGGUCACCCAUCCUAGUACAACUCUCGCCGAAGCAUGCUUAACUGCGGAGUUUAGAUGGGAUCUGGUGCAUUAGUGCUGGUAUGAUCGCAUCUGUUACUACAUGCAAUGCAAUCGUAUCUAUUCUUAUUUAAAGACUUUAUCAUCCAUUUGCCAUGGGUCCCACCUGUAGGAAUACCCAAUCUUGUUUAUAAGAGCUUUGAUACAUGCAAAAUAUUCGAAAACAACGUCCGAACAUAUAAUUUUCGCCCCGUAAUAUAGCAAAGAUCACGAAAAGGCCCGAAAAAGUACAUUAAGGUCAAAAUUUGGAAUAGAAAAAAAAACCAAUAGAAGUAUUCCAUUGUCCUUUGUCAUUCAUCGAAGAGCUCUCUUUGGGCUUUCCGAAAAGGUAUCGCAAGCCAAGUUUGGCCUCACGGUUUAAAAGUUAUAAAGUCAUACAUUUUUAACAAAAAAAAAAAGAGAAAAAACCGAAAAAAAGAGGGAUGCAACACGAGGACUUUUCUGGAGGUCACCCAUCCUAAUACUUCUCUCGCCCGAUCACCCUUAACUACGUAGUUUUGAUGGGAUUCGAUGCAUUAGUGCUGGUAUGAUCGCAUCUGUUACUACAUGCAAUGUAAUCGUAUCUAUUCUUUUUUAAAGACUUUAUGAUCCAUUUGCCGUGGGUCCCACCAGCUAUGUAGGAAUACCCUAUCUUCUUUAUAAGAGCUUUGAUAUAUGCAAAAUAUUGGAAAACCAUGUCCGAACAUAUAAUUUUUCCCCUGUAAUAUAGCAAAGAUCAAGAAAAAGCCAAAAAAGUAUAUUUAGGUCAAAAUUUGGAGUAGAAAAAAAAACAAUAGAAGAAUUCCAUUUUCCUUCCUCAGUCAUCGGAGAGCUCUCUUUGGGCUUUCCGAAAAGGUAUCAAAUGCCAAGUUUGGCCUCACGGUCUAAAAGUUAUAGAGUCAUACAUUUUUAACAAUACAAAGUAGAGAAAACCGGAAAAAAGAGGGAUGCAACAUGAGGACUUUCCGGGAGGUAAUCCAUCCUAGUACAACUCUUGCCCAAGCACCCUUAACUGCGGAGUUCUGAUGGAAUCCGGUGCAUUAGUGCUGGUAUGAUCGCAUGUGUUACUACAUGCAAUGUAAUCGUAUCUAUUCUUUUUUAAAGACUUUAUGAUCCAUUUGCCGUGGGUCCCACCAGCUAUGUAGGAAUACCCUAUCUUCUUUAUAAGAGCUUUGAUACAUGCAAAAUAUAUGAAAAAACGUUCGAACAUAUAAUUUUUCCCCCCGUAAUAUAGCAAAGAUCACGAAAAGGCCCGAAAAAGUACAUUUAGUUCAAAAUUUGGAGUAGAAAAACCCAAUAGAAGAAUUCCAUUUUCCUUCGUCAUUCAUCGGAGAGCUCUCUUUGGGCUUUCCGAAAAGGUAUCACAUGCCAAGUUUGGCCUCACGGUCUAAACGUUAUAGAGUCAUACAUUUUUAACAAAACAAAAUUGAGAAAAACCGAAAAAAAGAGGGAUGCAACACGAGGACUCUCCAGAAGGUAACCCAUCUUAGUACUACUUUCGCCCAAGCACCCUUAACUGCGGAGUUCUGAUAGGACCCGGUGCAUUAGUGCUGGUAUGAUCGCAUGUGUUACUACAUGCAAUGUAAUCGUAUAUAUUCAUUUUUAAAGACUUUAUGAUCCAUUUGCCGUGGGUCCUACCAGCUAUGUAGAAAUACCCUAUCUUCUUUAUAAGAGCUUUCAUUCACGCAAAAUAAUGGAAAACAAUGUCCGAAGAUAUAAUUUCCCCCCCCCCCCGUAAUAUAGCAAAGAUCACGAAAAGGCCCGAAAAAGUACAUUAAGUUCAAAAUUUGGAGUAGAAAAAAAAACAAUAGAAGAAUUCCAUUUUCCUUCCUCAGUCAUCGGAGAGCUCUCUUUGGGCUUUCCGAAAAGGUAUCACAUGCCAAGCUUGGCCUCACGGUCUAAAGGUUAUAGAGUCAUACAUUUUUAACAAAAAAAAAAUAGAAAAACAGAAAAAAGAGGGAUGCAAUACGAGGACUUUCCAGGAGGUCACCCAUCCUAGUACAACUCUCGCCGAAGCACGCUUAACUACGGUGUUCAGAUGGAAUCUGGUGCAUUAGUGCUGGUAUGAUGUCAUUUGUUACUACAUGCAAUGCAAUCAUAUCUAUUCUUAUUUAAAGACUUUAUGAUCCAUUUGCCGUGGGUCCCACCUGUAGGAAUACCCUAUCUUGUUUAUAAAAGAUUUGAUACAUGCAAAAUACUCGAAAACAAUGUCCGAACAUAUAAUUUUCACCCCGUAAUAUAGCAAAGAUCACGAAAAGGCCCGAAAAAGUACAUUAAAGUCAAAAUUUGGAGUAGAAAAAAACCCAAUAGAAGUAUUCCAUUCUCCUUCGUCAUUCAUCGGAGAGCUCUCUUUAGGCUUUCCGAAAAGAUAUCACAUGCCAAGUUUGGCCUCACGGUUUAAAAGUUAUAGAGUCAUAGAUUUUUAACAAAACAAAAAGAGAAAAACCGAAAAAAAUUGGGAUGCAACACGAGGACUUUCCUGGAGGUCACCCAUCCUAGUACUACUCUCGCCCAAGCACCCUUAACUGCGUAGUUCUGAUGGGAUCCGAUGCUUUAGUGCUGGUAUGAUCGCAUCUGUUACUACAUGCAAUGUAAUCGUAUCUAUUCUUUUUUAAAGACUUUAUGAUCCAUUUGCCGUGGGUCCCACCAGCUAUGUAGGAAUACCCUAUCUUCUUUAUAAGAGCUUUGAUAAAUGCAAAAUAUUGGAAACCAAUGUCCGAACAUAUAAUUUCGCCCCCGUAAUAUAGCAAAGAUCACGAAAAAGCCCAAAAAAGUUCAUUUAGGUCAAAAUUUGAGCAGAAGAAAAAGAAAUAGAAGAAUUCCAUUUUCCUUCCUCAUUUAUUGGAGAGCUCUCUUUGGGCUUUCCGAAAAGGUAUCACAUGCCAAGUUUGGCCUCACGGUCUAAAAGUUAUAGAGUCAUACAUUUUUAACAAAAUGAAAUAGAGAAAAACCGAAAAAAAGAGGGAUGUAACACGAGGACUUUCCGGGAGGUAAUCUAUCCUACUACUACUCUCGGCCAAGCACCCUUAACUGCGGAGUUCUAAUGGGAUCCGGUGCAUUAGUGCUGGUAUGAUCGCAUGUGUUACUACAUGCAAUGUAAUCGUAUCUAUUCUUUUUUAAAGACUUUAUGAUCCAUUUGCCGUGGGUCCCACCAGCUAUGUAGGAAUACCCUAUUUUCUUUAUAAGAGCUUUGAUACAUGCAAAAUAUUGGAAAACAAUGUCCGAACAUAUUAUUUUCCCCCCGUAAUAUAGCAAAGAUCACGAAAAGGCCCGAAAAAGUACAUUUAGUUCAAAAUGUGGAGUAGAAAAAAAAACAAUAGAAGAAUUCCAUUUUCCUUCGUCAUUCAUCGGAGAGCUCUCUUUAGGCUUUCCGAAAAGGUAUCACAUGCCAAGUUUGGCCUCACGGUCUAAAAGUUAUAGAAUCAUACAUUUUUAACAAAACAAAAUAGAGAAAAACCGAAAAAGAGGGAUUUAACACGAGGACUUUCCGAGAGGUAACCCAUCCUAGUACUACUCUCGUCCAAGCACCCUUAACUGCGGAGUUCUGAUGGGAUCCGGUGUAUUAGUGCUGGUAUGAUCGCAUGUGUUACUACAUGCAAUGUAAUCGUAUCUAUUCUUUUUUAAAGACUUUAUAAUCCAUUUGCCGUGGGUCCCACCAGCUAUGUAGGAAUACCCUAUUUUCUUUAUAAGAGCUUUGAUACAUGCAAAAUAUUAGAAAACAAUGUCCGAACAUAUUAUUUUCCCCCCGUUAUAUAGCAAAGAUCACGAAAAGGCCCGAAAAAGUACAUUUAGUUCAAAAUUUGGAGUAGAAAAAAAAACAAUAGAAGAAUUCCAUUUUCCUUCGUCAUUCAUCGGAGAGCUCUCUUUAGGCUUUCCGAAAAGGUAUCACAUGCCAAGUUUGGCCUCACGGUCUAAAAGUUAUAGAGUCAUACAUUUUUAACAAAACAAAAUAGAGAAAAACCGAAAAAAGAGGGAUUUAACACGAGGACUUUCUGAGAGGUAACCCAUCCGAGUACUACACUCGCCCAAGCACCCUUAACUACGGAGUUCUGAUGGGAUACGGUGCAUUAGUGCUGGUUUGAUCGCAUCUGUUACUACAUGCAAUGUAAUCGUAUCUAUUCUUUUUUAAAGACUUUAUGAUCCAUUUGCCGUGGGUGCCACCAACUAUGUAGGAUUAUCCUAUAUUCUUUAUAAGAGCUUUGAUACAUGAAAAAUAUUCGAAAACAAUGUCCGAACAUAUAAUUUCCACCCGUAAUAUAGCAAAGAUCACGAAAAGGCCCAAAAAAGUACAUUAAGUUUAAAAUUUGGAGUAGAAAAAAAACCAAUAGAAGAAUUCCAUUUUCCUUCCUCAGUCAUCGGAGAGCUCUCUUUGGGCUUUCCGAAAAGGUAUCACAUGCCAAGUUUGACCUCACGGUCUAAAGGUUAUAGAGUCAUACAUUUUUAACAAAAAAAAAUAGAAAAACAGGAAAAAAGAGGGAUGCAAUACGAGGACUUUCCAGGAGGUCACCCAUCCUAGUACAACUCUCGCCGAAGCACGCUUAACUGCGGUGUUCAGAUGGGAUCUGGUGCAUUAGUGCUCGUAUGAUGGCAUUUGUUACUACAUGCAAUGCAAUCGUAUCUACUCUUAUUUAAAGACUUUAUGAUCCAUUUGCCGUGGGUGCCACCAACUAUGUAGGAUUAUCCUAUAUUCUUUAUAAGAGCUUUGAUACAUGCAAAAUAUUCGAAAGCAAUGUCCGAACAUAUAAUUUCCCCCCCGUAAUAUAGCAAAGAUCACGAAAAGGCCCGAAAAAGUACAUUUAGUUCAAAAUUUGGAGUAGAAAAAAAAACAAUAGAAGAAUUCCAUUUUCCUUCGUCAUUCAUCGGAGAGCUCUCUUUAGGCUUUCCGAAAAGGUAUCACAUGCCAAGUUUGGCCUCACGGUCUAAAAGUUAUAGAGUCAUACAUUUUCAACAAAACAAAAUAGAGAAACACCGAAAAAAGAGGGAUUUAACACGAGGACUUUCCGAGAGGUAACCCAUCCUAGUACUACUCUCGUCCAAGCACCCUUAACUGCGGAGUUCUGAUGGGAUCCGGUGCAUUAGUGCUGGUAUGAUCGCAUGUGUUACUACAUGCAAUGUAAUCAUAUCUAUUCUUUUUUUAAAGACUUUAUGAUUCAUUUGCCGUGGGUCCCACCAGCUAUGUAGGAAUACCCUAUUUUCUUUAUAACAGCUUUGAUACAUGCAAAAUAUUGGAAAACAAUGUCCGAACAUAUUAUUUUCCUCCCGUAAUAUAGCAAAGAUCACGAAAAGGCCCGAAAAAGUACAUUUAGUUCAAAAUUUGGAGUAGAAAAAAAAACAAUAGAAGAAUUCCAUUUUCCUUCGUCAUUCAUCGGAGAGCUCUCUUUAGGCUUUCCGAAAAGGUAUCACAUGCCAAGUUUGGCCUCACGGUCUAAAAGUAUAGAGUCAUACAUUUUUAAAAAAACAAAAUAGAGAAAAACCGAAAAAAGAGGGAUUUAACACGAGGACUUUCCGAGAGGUAACCCAUCCUAGUACUACUCUCGUCCAAGCACCCUUAACUGCGGAGUUCUAAUGGGAUCUGGUGCAUUAGUGCUGGUAUGAUCGCAUGUGUUACUACAUGCAAUGUAAUCGUAUCUAUUCUUUUUUAAAGACUUUAUGAUCCAUUUGCCGUGGGUCCCACCAGCUAUGUAGGAAUACCCUAUUUUCUUUAUAAGAGCUUUGAUACAUGCAAAAUAUUGGAAAACAAUGUCCGAACAUAUUAUUUUCCCCCCGUUAUAUAGCAAAGAUCACGAAAAGGCCCGAAAAAGUACAUUUAGUUCAAAAUUUGGAGUAGAAAGAAAAACAAUAGAAGAAUUCCAUUUUCCUUCGUCAUUCAUCUGAGAGCUCUCUUUAGGCUUUCCGAAAAGGUAUCACAUGCCAAGUUUGGCCUCACGGUCUAAAAGUUAUAGAGUCAUACAUUUUUAACAAAACAAAAUAGAGAAAAACCGAAAAAGAGGGAUUUAAGACGAGGACUUUCUGAGAGGUAACCCAUCCGAGUACUACACUCGCCCAAGCACCCUUAACUACGGAGUUCUGAUGGGAUACGGUGCAUUAGUGCUGGUUUGAUCGCAUGUGUUACUACAUGCAAUGUAAUCGUAUCUAUUCUUUUUUAAAGACUUUAUGAUCCAUUUGCCGUGGGUGCCACCAACUAUGUAGGAUUAUCCUAUAUUCUUUAUAAGAUCUUUGAUACUUGCAAAAUAUUCGAAAAAAAUGUCCGAACAUAUAAUUUCCCCCCCGUAAUAUAGCAAAGAUCACGAAAAGGCCCAAAAAAGUACAUUAAGUUUAAAAUUUGGAGUAGAAAAAAAACCAAUAGAAGAAUUCCAUUUUCCUUCCUCAGUCAUCGGAGAGCUCUCUUUGGGCUUUCCGAAAAGUUAUCACAUGCCAAGUUUGACCUCACGGUCUAAAGGUUAUAGAGUCAUACAUUUUUAACAAAAAAAAAUAGAAAAACAGGAAAAAAGAGGGAUGCAAUACGAGGACUUUCCAGCAGGUCACCCAUCCUAGUACAACUCUCGCCAAAGCACGCUUAACUGCGGUGUUCAGAUGGGAUCUGGUGCAUUAGUGCUUGUAUGAUGGCAUUUGUUACUACAUGCAAUGCAAUCGUAUCGAUUCUUAUUUAAAGACUUUAUGAUCCAUUUGUCGUGGGUGCCACCUGUAGGAAUACCCUAUCUUGUUUAUAAGAGAUUUGAUACAUGCAAAAUAUUCGAAAACAAUGUCCGAACAUAUAAUUUUUGCCCCGUAAUAUAGAAAAGAUCACAAAAAAGUCCAAAAAAGUACAUUUAGGUCAAAAUUUGAGCAGAAAAAAAAGAAAUAGAAGAAUUCCAUUUUCCUUCGUCAUUCAUCGGAGAGCUCUCUUUAGGCUUUCCGAAAAGAUAUCACAUGCCAAGUUUGGCCUCACGGUCUAAAAGUUAUAGAGUCAUACAUUUUUCACAAAACAAAAAGAGAAAAACCGAAAAAAAUAGGGAUGCAACACGAGGACUUUCCUGGAGGUCACCCAUCCUAGUACUAAUCUCGCCCAAGCACCCUUAACUGCGUAGUUCUGAUGGGAUCCGAUGCAUUAGUCCUGGUAUGAUCGCAUCUGUUACUAUAUGCAAUAUAAUCGUAUCUAUUCUUUUUUAAAGACUUUAUGAUCCAUUUGCCGUGGGUCCCACCAGCUAUGUAGGAUACCCUAUCUUCAUAAUAAGAGCUUUGAUAAAUGCAAAAUAUUGGAAAACAAUGUCCGAACAUAUAAUUUCCCCCCCCCCCCCCGUAAUAUAGCAAAGAUCACGAAAAAGCCCAAAAAAGUACAUUUAGGUCAAAAUUUGAGUAGAAAAAAAAACAAAUAGAGGAAUUCCAUUUUCCGUCCUCAUUCAUCGGAGAGCUCUCUUUCGGCUUUCCGAAAAGGUAUCACAUGCCAAGUUUGGCCUCACGGUCUAAAAGUUAUAGAGUCAUACAUUUUUAACAAAACAAAAUAGAGAAAAACCGAAAAAAAGAAGGAUGCAACACGAGGACUUCCCGGGAGGUCACCCAUCCUAGUACUACUCUCGCCUAAGCACCCUUAACUGCGGAGUUCUGAUGGGAUCAGGUGCAUUAGUGCUGGUAUGAUCGCAU
rnacentral:lncRNA from 1 species